rnacentral:tRNA from 1 species
GGGCCUUUAGCUCAGUUGGUAGAGCAUCUGACUUUUAAUCAGAGGGUCGCAGGUUCGAACCCUGCAGGGCCUA